CAGCCGCCGCGGGAAUACGGAGGGUGCAAGCGUUAUCCGGAUUUAUUGGGUUUAAAGGGUCCGUAGGCGGAUCUGUAGUCAGUGGUGAAAUCUCACAGCUUAACUGUGAAACUGCCAUUGAUACUGCAGGUCUUGAGUAAAUUUGAAGUGGCUGGAAUAAGUAGUGUAGCGGUGAAAUGCAUAGAUAUUACUUAGAACACCAAUUGCGAAGGCAGGUCACUAAGAUUUAACUGACGCUGAUGGACGAAAGCGUGGGGAGCGAACAGGAUUAGAUACCCCUGUAGUCCCUGUCUCUUAUACA
rnacentral:rRNA from 1 species